GUGCUUGCUUUGGCAGCAUAUGAACUAAAAUUGGAACAAUACGGAGAAGAUCAGCAUGGCCGUGGCGCAAGGAUGACAUGCAAAUGCGUGAAGCAUUUAAAAAAAAA